rnacentral:rRNA from 1 species
GACGAACGCUGGCGGCGCGCUUAACACAUGCAAGUCGAGCGAAGCGGCGGACGGGUGAGUAACACGUGAGUAACCUGCCUUAGACAUUGGGAUAGCCUCGGGAAACCGGGAUUGAUACCAAAUGGUCUAAGAUGUACUCGCGUCCCAUUCGCUAGUUGGUGAGGUAACGGCCCACCAAGGCGACGAUGGGUAGCCGGCAUGAGAGGGUGAACGGCCACAUCGGAACUGAGAAACGGUCCAAACUAUACGGGAGGCAGCAGUGGGGAAUAUUGCCCAAUGGAGGGAAUGAUGAUGCAGCGACGACGGGUGAACGAAGAAGGCUGUCGAGGAGUAAAGUUCUUUUAUAUGGGAAGCGGUACCAUAAGAAAAAGCCCCGGCUAACUACGUGCCAGCAGCCGCGGUAAUUC